GAUCUAUCAAUCUUGAUAGAUAAGGAGCAGCCCUAUGUGAUUUAUGAGACUAAAUUUUGAAGGCCAUGGUCAUGGCAGUGUGAAUAAUAAAAAAAAAUUUCAUGAGAUUUUAGAUAAUGAACUCAAGUUGAAUAAAUCUUACAUAUGAUAGAUGAAGGUAUUUGAUGAAUUUUUCAUAACCUUUAUCUUAUCGAAACUCA
rnacentral:lncRNA from 1 species